UCAGGGAAAGAAAGAAAGAAAGAAGAAGAAGAAGAAGAAGAAGAAGAAGAAGAAGAGAAACAAAAAUUGGGGCUUUUGGGGUUCUUGCUUUAAUCUUUUCAUUGGGGGUCAAAAUUCUCAAAGGAUAGCGUAUCGCUUGCUUAAAUGUUAAGAAUGGGCUGAGGCAGUGGAAAGUUUAGAAGACGUUGGGCAGAACUUUUGUUAGCAUAUAUGUAGUUGUGUAUGAGCUACCUUGCAUCUAAUGAAAUGUGACUAUGAAUCUAAACCUGUGGAUUUUGUGUAAGUUAAUGGAUCCCUCAUGUAUAGGGUUUUGGAAUGUUAAAUUAAAUUCGUGUAGUGAUAUGAACUUAUGGUAAAUCGAUGAUUAUGGUGACUGCAUAGAA